AUUGAACGCUGGCGGCAGGCCUAACACAUGCAAGUCGAGCAGUAGAGAGGUGCUUGCAUCUCUUGAGAGCGGCGGACGGGUGAGUAAUGCCUAGGAAUCUGCCUAGUGGUGGGGGAUAACGUUCGGAAACGGACGCUAAUACCGCAUACGUCCUACGGGAGAAAGCGGGGGAGUCUUCGGACCUCGCGCCAUUAGAUGAGCCUAGGUCGGAUUAGCUAGUUGGUGAGGUAAUGGCUCACCAAGGCGACGAUCCGUAACUGGUCUGAGAGGAUGAUCAGUCACACUGGAACUGAGACACGGUCCAGACUCCUACGGGAGGCAGCAGUGGGGGAAUAUUGGACAAUGGGCGAAAGACCUGAUCCAGCCAUGCGCGUGUGUGAAGAAGGUACGUUCGGA
rnacentral:rRNA from 1 species